rnacentral:rRNA from 1 species
UGAGGAAUAUUGGUCAAUGGGUGCAAGCCUGAACCAGCCAUCCCGCGUGAAGGACGACUGCCCUAUGGGUUGUAAACUUCUUUUGUAUAGGGAUAAACCUACCCUCGUGAGGGUAGCUGACGGUACUAUACGAAUAAGCACCGGCUAACUCCUUGCCAGCAGCCGCGGUAAUACGGAGGGUGCAAGCGUUAUCCGGAUUUAUUGGGUUUAAAGGGUCCGUAGGCGGACUUAUAAGUCAGUGGUGAAAGCCUGUCGCUUAACGAUAGAACUGCCAUUGAUAAUGUCAGUCUUGAGUAUAUUUGAGGUAGCUGGAAUAAGUAGUGUAGCGGUGAAAUGCAUAGAUAUUACUUAUAACACCGAUUACGAAGGCAGGUUACCAAGAUAUAACUGACGCUGAGGGACGAAAGCGUGGGGAGCGAACA